rnacentral:rRNA from 1 species
AGAAUGAACGUUGGCGGCGUGGAUUAGGCAUGCAAGUCGUACGCUCCGCAAGGGGCGUGGCGCAAGGGUGAGCAAGGCGACGGCAACCCACCCCAAGGUCGGGCAUAGCCGAGGGAAACCUCGGGUAAUUCCCGGCGACGUCGGCGAGCGGCAUCGCUUGCCGACCAAAGGUGUGAUUCCGCCUUGGGACGGACCGUCGUGGUAUCAGGUGGUUGGCGGGGUAACGGCCCACCAAGCCUUAGACGCCUACCGGGCGUGCGAGCGCGGCCCGGCACACUGGGACUGAGACACUGCCCAGACUCCUACGGGAGGCUGCAGUCGAGAAUCUUCGGCAAUGGGCGCAAGCCUGACCGAGCGACGCCGCGUGGGGGAUGAAGGCCCUUGGGUUGUAAACCCCGUGUCGAGGGGGAGCAAGGACGGUUGCAGAAAUCGUCUUGAGCGAUCCCGUGGAGGAAGCGACGGGCUAAGUUCGCGCCAGCAGCCGC